rnacentral:lncRNA from 10 species
GGCCGCGGCGAUUCAAUAUAUCCGGAAGCAACUGUCAUGGCUGCUGUCAGUGAGGGCCCGUAAUGGAGAUCGAGUCAAGGGUUGCCCAGGGACACUUAAGAGCCUUCGGCUUCAAGGAGGCCUCUCAAAGGACAAAGGAUGAGACUGCCUGGCGGCAGAGUGCCCCCCACAAUCGUAGGAACUGUGUCGCCGCGCUUCCCGUUAACUUGCCGCUAAGUUUUUCUAGAAAAGUCGCCCUUCUUGCCAGGGGUGUCCUAUAGACUUUGUCAUGGAGUGAAACAGAAACAAAUGAGGUAAAGCAAGGUGGCUGGAUAGAAUCCUCCAGCAAUCAUCUGCACUGCAGGAACAACAAAUUGAACAACUAUCCACAUAAGAAGCACCUUCACAAGAACCAAAAAUCAGGUGAGCAAUCAUAGUGCCUGGUUUUAACAUCAUGUCAAGGAAAGAGGCACUGAAGAGAGUAGGAAAGACGAUCUUGAAUUGCCUAUACCACCUCUCUCUCAUCCCCAGGCAGCAUGGCAGGAAGAGAGAAUCUGUGCACUUGGAGGAGGGAGAGUUAAGUGAUUGGGGGACUUUGCAUUGGAACUCACUGCUCCCCUAACAUAGCGGAAAGCAACACAGGGCAGAAUUUGGCCAGCGCCCACAGAGGGAGCACUUAGACAAGCCCUAGCCAGACGGGAACUGUCCAUCCCAGCAGUCAGAACCUGACUUCCAGCUAGCCCCACCACCAUUGGCUAAAGCACUCUGGGGUCCUAAUAAAUUUGAAAGGCAGUCUAGCCCACAAGGACCACAAUUCCUGGACAAGUCCUGGUACUGUGCAGGGCUCACAGCCAGUGGACUCAGGGUGACAUGAUCCAGUGAGACACCAGCUGGGGCAGCCAAGGGAGUGCUUGCAUCACCCCUCCCCCAACUUCAGGCAGUACAGCUCACAGCUCCAGGAAAAGAGGGAAGAGCAAAGAGUACUUUGUCUUGCAACUUGGAUACCAGCUCAGCCACAGUAAAAGCACCAAGCAGAGUCCUAAAGCCCCCACUCCUGGCACUAUCUCCCAGAUAAUAUUUUUAGACGGACACCGGGCCAGAAGAGAACCCACUGCCCUGAAGGAAAGGUUGCAAUCCUGGCAGAAUUCACCAUCUGCUAACUAAAGAACCCUUGGGCCUUGAAUAAACAUCAGUGGUAGCCAGUCAGUAGUCACCACGACCUUGGGCGAGACCCAGUAUUGUGCUGGCUUCAGGUGUGACCCAGUAUAUUUCCACCUGUGGCGGCCACAGUGAGAGACACCUUCUGCUUGAGGAAAGGAGGAGGAAGAGUAAAAUGACUUUGUUUUGCAACUUGGCGAUAUGAUUAGGCUUUGUGUUCCCACCCAAAUCUCAUCUUGAAUUGUAAUCCCCAGGUGUUGAGGGCGAGACCGAGUGGGAGGUGACUGGAUCAUGGGGGUGGUUUCCCCCAUGCUGUUCUCAUGAUAGUGAGUGAGUUUUCACAAGAUCUGAUGGUUUUACAAGCGUCUGGUAUUUGCCUGGCUUGCAUUUCUCUCUCCUGCCACCAUGUGAAGAAGGUCCUUGCUUCCCCUUCGCCUUCCACCAUGAUUCUAAGUUUCCUGAGGCCUUCCCAACCAUGUGGAACUGUGAGUCAAUUAAACCUCUUUCCUUUAUAAAUUACUUUUUAAAGGGUACUAUCUUUAUAGCAGUGCGAGAAUGGACUACACACUUGGGUAUCCAGCUCAGCCACAGUCAAAUAAAGUGUAUCAAGCAGACUCCUGAAGUCUCUGAUUCCAGACCUUAGGUCUUGGUGGGCAUUUCUAGACCCAUCCUGGGCCAGAAAGGAACCUGCGGCUCUGGCGGGAGAGAACCAGGCUUGGUAGGACUCACCAACUGCUGACUAAAAACCCCUUGGGCCUUGAAUAAACAUCAGUGGUAGUCAGGGUAUAGUCACCACUGGCCUGGUGCAGUGGUGCCCAUAAGCAGAUAGCCCUUCUGCUUGAGGAAAGAAAAGGGAAAAGCAGAGAGGACUUAGUUUUACAACCUGGGUGCCAGUUCAGCCCCAGUAAAAUGAAGCACCAAACAAAUUCCUAAAACCCCUGACCCCAGGCCCUCGCACUUCAAUGGCAUUUCUAAACCCACCCUGGGCCAGAAGGGAACCUGCUUCACUGGAAGGAACCUGCUUCACUGAAGGGGAAGCCCUAGUCCUGGCAGGAUUCAUCAUUUGCUCACUAAAUAGCCCUUGGGGCUUGAAUAAACAUCAAGACUCUCAGGACUCUCACCAACAGGCCUUGGGUGAGACCUAGCACUAUGCUGGCUUCAGGUAUGACCCAGCACAGUCCCAGUGGUGGUGGCCAUGGGAGUGUCUGCAUCACUCCUUCCCCAACUCCAGGCAGCUCAGCAUGGAGAGAGAAAGACACUUUGUUUGGAGAAAAGGGAAUAGAACAAGAAACCCUGCCUGGUAAUCCAGGGAAUUCUCCCUGAUCUCCUUGGUCUUCUCCCAAGACCACCAAGGCAGUACCUCUACAAGUCUGCAAGAGUCAGCACAUUACUGGACUUGGGGUGCCCCUUAAUGCAUUUAUGGUUGCAUGACCAAAUAACUGGAUUACAACACUCAAAAUUAUCUUUGAAUACUUACUAAUCCUUCUCUAGAAAGUUGGGUACAAACAAACCCAGACUGCAAAUAUUAGAAUAAAUAUCUAACUAUUCAAUGCCCUGACAUUGAUGAACACCCACAAGCUUCAAGACCAUCCAGGAAAACAUGACUUCUCCAAAUAAACUAAAUAAGGCACCAGUGACCAAUUCUGGAGUAACAGAAAUAUGUGAUCUUUCAAGCGGUGAAUUCAAAGUAACUGUUUUGAAGAAGCUCAGUGAAAUCCAAGGUAAGACAGAGAAAGAAUUCAGAAUGUUAUGAGACAAAUUUAACAAAGAGAUAGAAAUAAUUAAAAAGAAUCAAGCAGAAAUUCCGGAGCUG